UAGACAAUAGGCAGCACGCCACGGUACAGAUGCGCUUGACGCGCGGUCUGGUCGUGGCGCGUGACGGCGAUGAUGGGGCAGCGUGGGCGGUACUUGGACAGCAGAUGGGCGGAGCGGCCCGAGGUCGUGAUGACGACGAUGGCGGAUGCCAAGCAAAUGUUGGAUGCUGAGACUGCCGCGAUGGCAACUGAGUGGUCCUGCUUGAUGGGCGGCUUCACCU